rnacentral:rRNA from 1 species
CGCGUAGGGGGCAAGCGUUGUCCGGAUUUAUUGGGCGUAAAGAGCUCGUAGGCGGUUCGGUAAGUCGGGUGUGAAACCUCCAGGCUCAACCUGGAGACGCCACCCGAUACUGCUGUGACUAGAGUCCGGUAGGGGAGCGUGGAAUUCCUGGUGUAGCGGUGAAAUGCGCAGAUAUCAGGAGGAACACCAGCGGCGAAGGCGGCGCUCUGGGCCGGAACUGACGCUGAGGAGCGAAAGCGUGGGGAGCAAACAGG